UACGAAGGGGGCUAGCGUUGUUCGGAAUUACUGGGCGUAAAGGGCGCGUAGGCGGUGUGUCAAGUCAGGCGUGAAAGCCCCGGGCUCAACCUGGGAACCGCGCUUGAGACUGGCACGCUAGAGUUCGGGAGAGGAUGGUGGAAUUCCCAGUGUAGAGGUGAAAUUCGUAGAUAUUGGGAAGAACACCGGUGGCGAAGGCGGCUCACUGGCUCGUUUCUGACGCUCAGGCGCGACAGCGUGGGGAUCAAACAGG
rnacentral:rRNA from 1 species